CCUUCGAUAGUUGGUAGAACGGAGGGCUGUAGUUGUUGACAGAAAUAAUCCCUAUGUCACUGGUUCGAAUCCAGUUUGAAAUA